rnacentral:tRNA from 1 species
GAGGGUCUAGCUCAGAGGUGGAGUGUAUGCUUCACAUGCAUGAGGUCUUGGGUUCAAUCACCAGUACCUCCA